GAAAAGCACAAACAAAUGAAGAAGGAUCCACCACAGGCAGGAGAGACCCCUGGACAAAACUGGGAUCUUGAAGGCUGUUCUUCUCGUGAUACUGAGGAAGACUUUGGAGGAAUGGGCCAAAGGACUGUACUAUGACAAUGUCCAACCUGAGCUUAACCCUGCCUCACUGCUGAUGAUACUCUAGAUGUUUGUAAUUCUUUGAGCUUGUCAAUGUUCUCUGCU
rnacentral:lncRNA from 1 species